AUUAUGGAAAAGUUGGUAAGGUAAUAUUCAUCAAGUUAUUUAAUUUAUAUCCGUAAGCAAUAGUAAAUUAUUGCUAACGAAAUACCAUUUCGAUUUCUAAGCAUAGUUCAGUUACACAUAAAAUACUAUAUUUUUACUUAAACAUUUAUUUUCCAGCAGUUAUUAUGAAAACCUCUUGGAAAAUAAAAAUAUGAAGUCUCCAUUGCACCUAAUAGAACGAAAAUGCAACAAAAAAGUUUCUUGGCAUUUUUUGAUUGGAGCAAGAUUUCUAAUAGAAAAGAUGUUUAAAGACAGAAAAAAAAAAAUUAUUGUAAUUUUUCCCAAUUAUUAUGAAAACAGUUUUGAAAAUUCAAAAAAUGACUUAAUUAUUCAACAAAAAAAGUCUUGUGCCAUUCUUUAAUUAAAACAAUAUUUCUGGCAUAAAAGAAGCCUGUGGAAAUGGCGCGCUGUAAAUGUUUGCCUUUUGCCUAUAAAUUUGUUUCCAGUUUUUCUCAAUUAUUUUGAAAACCUGUUGGAAAAUCAAUAACCUCUCUAAUGCACCAACUAGACAAAAUAUAUUUUCGAAAAGGUACUACAAUCUAUACAUCAGAGCAAGAUUUCUAUUCAAAAAGUUAUUUACAGACAGAAAUAAAAAGUGUUGAUACUGCUGAUGAGUGAACCACUGUUGUAGAUGGAUAGUUGAGAAGGUAGGAUUCAUAAAGUUAUUUAAUUUAUAUCUGUAAACAACGAUUAAUCUUUUCAACAAAAAACGAUUCUGAACGGAGUUUGGCUAUACCUACAUGUUUUAAAAAACCAUUGUAUUUACAAUUUUCAUAAAAAUUUGAUACUCGGAUGCUUAAUAAAAAAAAAAAUUAAAUUACACUCAACUUUUUAACCACUAAGUACAUCUUAUAAUUAAUCAAACGAAAUUGAAAACAAUAAAAUCAUUAUUUUCGUAAAUUUUCAGUUUUUUCUAAAUUUGUUUUGGUUUUUCUAAUUAUUAUGAAAACUUCUUGGAAAAUCAAACAACGACUUUAUUAGUCACAAACAAGAUUAUUAUAAC